rnacentral:rRNA from 1 species
AUUUGAAAUCAGCCUCUUGGGGCCGAGUUGUAAUUUGCAGAGGAUGCUUUCGGUGCGGCGGCUUCUAAGUUCUCUGGAACGGGACGCCACAGAGGGUGAGAGCCCCGUAUAGUUGGGCGCCUAGCCGGUGUAAAGCUCCUUCGACGAGUCGAGUAGUUUGGGAAUGCUGCUCUAAAUGGGAGGUAAAUUCCUUCUAAAGCUAAAUAUCUGCCGGAGACCGAUAGCGCACAAGUAGAGUGAUCGAAAGAUGAAAAGCACUUUGAAAAGAGAGUCAAAAAGCACGUGAAAUUGUUGAAAGGGAAGCGCCUGUGACCAGACUUGCGCCGUGGCGAUCUCCCGCCGUUUUCGGCGGUGCACUCGCCGCGGUUCAGGCCAGCAUCGGUUCCGGUGGGGGGAAAAAAGCAGUGGCAACGUAGCUCUUUCGGGGGUGUUAUAGGCCGCUGCAGAAUACCCCCGGGGGGACCGAGGACUGCGCAUUGCGAGGAUGCUGGCGUAAUGGUCACCGGCGACCCGUC